AGCUCCAAGUUUCGAUUUUCUUCAUCAUCAUCAUCAUUAUUAUUAUUGAAUGAAAAAAAAGAGUUUAGCGCCUACCAAAAUACUUAUAUGAUAAAGACGAUAAUGGAUACUGGUGAUCAUCAUCAAGAAAAAGAAACGAAAGAAAAAUUACAAAGAUUUGAAUCUAGAUUUUCAAAUAAAACGAAACGAAACGAAACAAGUCCAACCGUCCAAAACACACUGAUACACGGAUAAUCCAUUAUCUUUGUCAAUAUUGGCUUUUCAAAAAAUAAAUUGGUUCAGAUGAUUGGAAAUUACAAUUUUCAAGAAAAACAGUGAAGAAAAGAAAAAUAAAUAAAUGUUUGCAAAAAAAAAAAUUGGGGAAGGGUUGAACGUCUCUACAAAGUGAAUAAUUAUAAUCAACGAUUGCAAUUAACGAAGAAGAAGAAGAAGAAAAUUCUUAUUAAAAAUGGCCAGGUUUCAUAAUCGAAUCAGGAAUGGCUUGUCGAAUUUCCAAUGUCGAUGGUAAAUUAUUAUCAUUUUCUCCACUUGUUUUUUUUCACCCAAAAUAAAUGUGUUAUCCUAUCUGUCAAUGGACAGAAAACGAUGAUGAUAAUCAUUCAGAUUUUCUCACCCCACCAAUAUAUAUUCUAUGUGUGUGUGUGUGUUCGGGAUCAUCGUUACCAUCAACAACAACAACAACAACAUCAUGGUCGUCUUCAUUAUUUUAAUCAUCGUCAUCGUCUCGCCAUCUCCUAAAAGACCUCCAGACUAUAUGUUGUAGUCGUUGUUUUUUUUUCACAUUCGUUCAUCUUAUUCAUUGCUCUUCAUCAUCACUUGUUGUCGACUAUAAACGACUAUUGGUAAAUGAUGAUGAUGAUGACGAUGUAGAUGAUAAUAAUCGACACAAACCAUCAACCAGUAAAUCUAGUAAAAAAAGGAAAAAGCGCACCUUUUUUUGGAUCCUUUUCCACACAGCAAAUACAAACACACGAUUUAAUCUUUGUUUUGUUGGAGAAAAAAUUGGCGGAUAUUAUUGCACGCACUUGAAACCAAGACACACAACAGGAAAAAAAAACAACAAGGGAAGUCAGACGCUAAAUAUAUGUACUGAAAUGAACUUUUUUUUAAUCAUUAUUUUUUUUACGUUUGUUUGUUUGUUUGUUUGUAGCCAAUCAUUACCACCAUACCAUCAAUCGAUGCUAUUGCAUCAUCAUAAUCAUAUAAUAAUGAUAAUAACCAUUCUUCAUCAUAGAGUUUCAAAUGAAGGUUAUAUAUGGUAUAUUCGUGUUAUCGUCAUUAUAAUAAAUUAUUAUUAUUCACUCAUUGAAAUCGACCACUUUAUUAAGACAGCCAUGAUGAUGAUGAUUUAGAAGAAAAACGAAUAAAGACAAAACAACAACGACAACAACGAAUCGUCUAGACGCCUGAUAAUCUAUAGUGAUGAUAAUAAUAAUGAUGAUGAUGAUGAUGAUGGCUAUAAUAAUGGCCGUUGACCAUUACCGAAUAUAUUUCUUCAUUCAUUCAUUUCAGAUCAUAAUGUACUGCCUCAAAAAUGAAUCAUUAGUAUGUUAAUUUUUUCGUCAUCAUCAUCAUCGUCUUCAUUGUUAUUGUUAAUCAUUAAACGAAAAUAAGUUAUCAAUGGAAAUCAAUGGAAUGAAUGGAUAAUGAAUAAAAUGGAUUUCUGCAUCAUCAUCAUCAUCAUCAUUUUCACGAUAUGAAUGACAUGAAUUCAAUGAUGAUACUAAGGAAAUGAUUAAGAUUCUUCAUCAAUAGAAGA